rnacentral:rRNA from 1 species
UACGUAGGGGGCAAGCGUUGUCCGGAUUUAUUGGGCGUAAAGAGCGUGUAGGCGGCCAGGUAGGUCCGUUGUGAAAACUCGAGGCUCAACCUCGAGACGUCGGCGGAAACCCUCUGGCUAGAGUCCGGAAGAGGAGAGUGGAAUUCCUGGUGUAGCGGUGAAAUGCGCAGAUAUCAGGAAGAACACCCGUGGCGAAGGCGGCUCUCUGGGACGGUACUGACGCUGAGACGCG